rnacentral:lncRNA from 1 species
UGGUAUCUGCCAGAGUCUGUGUCAGUAUGCCUGUACUAGGUCACAACAAUGGCCGCCACCAAAGUCUCAGUCUCUGGAGAGGUCUCACCUCUCACCAAGAUGCACCCAGAGCCUACCAGGACAAGACAAAGGAAGAAAACCAACUUUCCCGUUUUAAGAAAUAGUUCUGCGCUUCAUCACAGUUUUAGAUGUUUUCUUCUGGGAGAACCAAGGAGCAACAGGUUCUUGCGUAGAAGCUCAGCGUGGACUUUUAGCUUUUCCAGUGGACUUUGAGGGAAAAAACGUCAGAAGUUCAGCUUUCUCACUUCUGAAAAGGGACUAGUGAUGCCUGUUCUUCGCCUCUGCCAGCACUGCAAUAAAAUUCAGAUGAAAGCAAGCAUAUGAAAGGCUGUGUAAACGCCAGUGUGCCAUAGAAAUGUAAAAACGGUAUUAGCAAGGGUUAUGACAUCUUCUGCUUCCUUUCCCUGCAUCCAUUUUUAUGUGUCUAUCAAAAUAAAAGGCAAUAAUUUUUGACUUGCAAAUUUUAGACUGAACCGUUGAAUGAUACAAUGAAAGGAGG